AAGUCAAGUUUUAUGGUGUGGUGAAGAAAAUUAACAUACUAAAUUUUACCUAUAGCAGUAAUUAUAUUAUACAUGAUAAAACUAGUAAUGGUUAUUAAAAUAAAAUGAGAUCUUAUCAGGCACAAAGAAGUCAUUAACUUGCAAUGUAUAACGUAUAUUUACAAUUUUU